UACGUAGGGGGCAAGCGUUGUCCGGAAUCAUUGGGCGUAAAGCGCGUGUAGGCGGCUCGGUAAGUCCGCUCUGAAAGUCCAGGGCUCAACCCUGGGAUGCGGGUGGAUACUGUCGGGCUAGAGUACGGAAGAGGCGAGUGGAAUUCCUGGUGUAGCGGUGAAAUGCGCAGAUAUCAGGAGGAACACCUAUUGCGAAGGCAGCUCGCUGGGACGUAACUGACGCUGAGACGCGAAAGCGUGGGGAGCAAACAGG
rnacentral:rRNA from 1 species